UCUCCCUCUUUUUAAAAACCUUCUUUGCUUGUGAUUUCUAAAUUUAGACUUUAUUACAAAUUAGAAACUUUGGCCUUAUGCCAUUUCAUUUUUAACUCUUUUCUUAAAUCAAACUUGUAAAUGAAUUUAACCAUAUUAGACUUAAAAUUUCAAAAGACAAAAAUAACUAACACUCAUUCAAACUCUUUUAGGCCUUUUGUGCCUCUUUGAAACUUAAUUUUUUGUUAAAAAGUAAUCCACUCAUUUUGAAAUUGAUACCACGAACUACGAGGUUUUGAUCCCUCAUUUUUAUGUUGGUACGUAGGCACAAGUCCAAAGGUCUUGCCAAACACAAAAAUAUAAUGAAUUCUUU
rnacentral:lncRNA from 1 species